AAGUUGAAUGGGUCAUGUCAUUACUCAUUAGGAGAGUUGGGCUCGGUUGAGAUAGAUUCAGUGCUGCUCUUUAUUUUGUUGUCUUGUGCUCGCGAACUGAAGCUGGCAAUCCCAGCGGAGACGAUUUGUGAUUUGUGCCUGUUAAUAAGCUUUUAGUAAAAUCGGGCAGUUGCCUUUGGUUUAAAAAAAAUGUUUCCUAGGAACUCCAUCGAGCAACACGGAUAUUUCGGAAGAGGGUUACCAGACAAAACUGUACUAAAUCACAUUCUACAGCGCAAAAGUAC
rnacentral:lncRNA from 1 species